GUUCAGGGUGUACCCCGCCUCCUGCCCGAAGAUAGCUGGGAUAGGCUCCAGCACUCCCGUGACCCUUGUGAGGAUAAGCGGCUCAGAAAAUGGAUGGAUGGAUGGAUGGACUUCCGACUUGUGAAGCACUCAUCACUGCCUGCAUUUAAGCCUGCCAGAUCCAGGAAGUCGGCGCCAGAGAAUUAACGUUCAUCCGUGUGCUCCUUCCGUGCUCCCCGCCUCGCUGUCCGCUCCAGCCACGCCGCCAAGCUCUUCCACCUGCUCACGCCACCGCUUCCUGCACAUUCCUUGUCCCGACGGUCCACCGCCACGCCUUGGAGAUACUUACUCUGAGCUAUUAUCAAAUAAACCAUUCUCAUC